rfam:TPA: Bos taurus chromosome 19, whole genome shotgun sequence.
UCCCUGAUGGUCCAGUGGUUAGGACUCGGCAUUUUCACUGCCAUGGGCCCAGGUUCAAUCCCUGGUUAGGGAA